UGGCUUUAAUUUCUCAGAAAAUUACACCUUUCACAGCUUUCCUCACUUAGAGGCGGUUGCUCGGUGAUAGUAACAAAUACAACAUGAUGGUCAGACCCUGCACGUAGUUGCACGUUCUAUUCGCCUCGGAAAAAUAAAGUGGACAAAGUUACAGUUCCACCAUGAGUUCUA